rnacentral:rRNA from 1 species
UACGUAGGGAGCAAGCGUUGUCCGGAAUCAUUGGGCGUAAAGCGCGCGUAGGCGGUUUGUCGCGUCUGCCGUGAAAGUCCGGGGCUCAACUCCGGAUCUGCGGUGGGUACGGGCAGACUAGAGUGAUGUAGGGGAGACUGGAAUUCCUGGUGUAGCGGUGAAAUGCGCAGAUAUCAGGAGGAACACCGGUGGCGAAGGCGGGUCUCUGGGCCGUAACUGACGCUGAGGAGCGAAAGCGUGGGGAGCGAACAGG